GACAGAUGAACGGAUGACCUGCUUGCUGGGCUUCCCAUUACUGACUAUCAGAAAAAUGAGGACCAUUGACUGAUGAGAGAAUUGCUCUACUGGGGUUGAUAGCCUGCCUCAAGACAUCGUCAGGGCUCCAACAGCCUUAUCACACAGAAACUCGAGGAACCGAAAGCAGGGAGGAGGACCGACAGAUGAACGGAUGACCUGCUUGCUGGGCUUCCCAUUACUAAUUCUUGAGACAUGAGGACCAUUGGCUGGCCCUAUGAUGGAUGAGCCUGCCUCAAGCUGCCUCAAGCUGCCAUAAGUUAGGAGGACCGACGGUUGACUGACUCUGCCUGCUCUGUUGGCCAUUACCGAUUCUUGAGAAGAUGAGGACCGCCAAGCUUGGAUGAGACUGGACAAUUACGAAGCUGCUGUAUCUGGACAAGGAUGCCCUCAUCAGAUACUUUCCAAGUGCGGAAUAUUGGAUCAAAAAUCAGAAUGCAUAUUAUUUUGCAAUAUUAUAAAACAUAAAAACGACGAAAAUACGAAUUCUUACGCCAAAGUUGCCGCUAUAAUUGGAAGAAAUAAUAACUUAAAUCACUGUUACUUGUUAACUUUACUAAGAUACCUAUACCUGAAAUAUUAGACGACGAAUAUGACAAAAAUUAAGAAAAAAAGUCAAAUGUGUGUAAAAUACAUUGCAGUGAAAAUCAAAUCAUGAGCGGAUUUUCUUCUCACAGAAAUGCUUCUCCGCUUCCAACAAGUGGCUGAGAAAAAGAUGAAAUUUACGCCGAAAAUAACUGAAAUCAGUGUUGCUUUUACCUUCACUGCGACACCUACCCGAAAUAUUUGACUACACGCGUGUGACGAAAUGUGGAAACAAAAAUCAAAUUGGUCCAAAUUAAAUUACAACGAAAAUCACAUAGUACGUGGAGUUUCUUCUCGCAGCACGGCACUCUGUUUCUACAGGUAGCUUCAGGAAAAUUACGAAAAUUACACCGAAAAUCAACGCGGCAUAUAAGUGAAGUGACAAAACAUAGUUAACACGGCUAAAAAAAAUCACAGCGUUAGUGAGAGAAAUAAUACUUGAUAUCAGUGUUAUUUUUCUUACCUACAAAGUAAAAAAAUCGAUUGCGGAAGGACAAAAUUAAAGAGACGAAAAUUACGGUAAAAAGAUUAACAGCGGCAGCGAAAUAAAUAAAUAUUUGAAAAUCGGUAAUUUUUAAAACUUCUUGGCCCUAUGCCAUGCAAAAAUUUGCUAAGGAAAAAUGACCGAAAUAAUGU